AUACGGAGGGUGCAAGCGUUACUUGGAAUCACUGGGCGUAAAGCGCGCGCAGGCGGGCUGAUAAGUUGGAUGUGAAAGCCUACGGCUCAACCGUAGAACUGCAUCCAAAACUGCCAGUCUAGAGUGUGGGAGAGGAAGAUGGAAUUAGUUGUGUAGGGGUAAAAUCCGUAGAGAUAGCUAGGAAUACCAAAAGCGAAGGCAAUCUUCUGGAACACUACUGACGCUGAGGCGCGAAGGCGUGGGGAGCAAACAGGAUUAGAUACCCGAGUAGUCC
rnacentral:rRNA from 1 species